rnacentral:rRNA from 1 species
AGUGAACGCUGGCGGUAGGCCUAACACAUGCAAGUCGAACGGCAGCUCUGUUAGAGCUUGCUCUUACGGGUUGCGAGUUGCGUACGGGUGAGGAAUACAUCGGCAUCUACUUUUUCGUGGGGGUUAACGUAGGGAAACUUACGCUUAUACCGCAUCCGACCUACGGGUGAAAGCAUGGUAUCUUCGGACCUUGUGCGAUUUAAUGAGCCGAUGUCUGAUUAGCUAGUUGGCGGGGUAACGGCCCACCAAGGCGACGAUCCGUAGCUGGUCUGAGAGGAUGAGGAGCGACACUGGAACUGAGACAAGGUCCAGAGUCAUACGGGAGGCAGCAGUAGGGAAUAUUGAACAAUGGGAGCAAGAGUGAGACAGACACACCGCGUGGGUGAAGAAGGCCAACGAGUUGUGGAGCCCAUUUGUUGGGAAAGAAAAGCAGCAAGUUAAGACCGCGCUGUUCUGAAGGUACCAAAAGAAUAAGCACCGGCUAACUACGUG